UAGGGAAUCUUCCGCAAUGGACGAAAGUCUGACGGAGCAACGCCGCGUGAGUGAAGAAGGAUUUCGGUUCGUAAAACUCUGUUGUUAGGGAAGAAUGAUUAUGUAGUAACUAUACAUAAUAGAGACGGUACCUAACCAGAAAGCCACGGCUAACUACGUGCCAGCAGCCGCGGUAAUACGUAGGUGGCAAGCGUUGUCCGGAAUUAUUGGGCGUAAAGCGCGCGCAGGUGGUUUAAUAAGUCUGAUGUGAAAGCCCACGGCUCAACCGUGGAGGGUCAUUGGAAACUGUUAAACUUGAGUGCAGGAGAGAAAAGUGGAAUUCCUAGUGUAGCGGUGAAAUGCGUAGAGAUUAGGAGGAACACCAGUGGCGAAGGCGGCUUUUUGGCCUGUAACUGACACUGAGGCGCGAAAGCGUGGGGAGCAAACAGG
rnacentral:rRNA from 1 species